GCUUGAGUUUGAUCCUGGCUCAGAUUGAACGCUGGCGGCAUGGCUAAAACAUGCAAGUCGAGGGAGAACCCGCCUUCGGGCGGGGGAAACCGGCGAAAGGGCGAGUAAUGGCAUCGAACGUACCCCGAGGUCGAGGAUAGCCGUGGGAAACUGCGGGUAAUACUCGAUGUGCUCUUCGGAGGAAAGCUCCGGCGCCUUGGGAGCGGCGAUGUUCCUAUCAGGUUGUUGGUGGGGUGACGGCUCACCAAGCCGAAGACGGGUAGCGGGUGUGAGAGCAUGGCCCGCCGCAUCGGGACUGAGACACUGCCCGGACUCCUACGGGAGGCUGCAGUAACGAAUCUUCCGCAAUGCGCGAAAGCGUGACGGAGCAAUGCCGCGUGCAGGAUGAAGCGGUUACGCCGUGUAAACUGCUGUCAGGACCUAGGAAGAACUGACCGGGUCCAGAGGAAGGGCCGGCUAAUCUCGUGCCAGCAGCCGCGGUAAGACGAGAGGCCCGAGCGUUAAUCGGAAUCACUGGGCUUAAAGGGUGCGCAGGCGGACCGGCAGGCAUGUUGUGAAAGUCCACGGCUCAACCGUGGAAUUGCAAUGUGAACCACCGGUCUUGAGGUAGGUAGAGGUCGUCGGAACGUUCGGUGGAGCGGUGAAAUGCGUAGAUAUCGAACGGAACGCCGAAGGCGAAGGCAGGCGACUGGGCCUUACCUGACGCUCAGGCACGAAAGCGUGGGGAUCAAACAGGAUUAGAUACCCUGGUAGUCCACGCCGUAACGAUGUGCACUAGAUCGAUGCGUCUCUGACGGCGUGUCGGUCGGAGAGAAAUUGUUAAGUGCACCGCCUGGGGAGU
rnacentral:rRNA from 1 species